UACGUAGGGGGCGAGCGUUAUCCGGAAUUAUUGGGCGUAAAGAGUGCGUAGGUGGCAUCUUAAGCGCAGGGUUUAAGGCAAUGGCUCAACCAUUGUUCGCCUUGCGAACUGGGGUGCUUGAGUGCAGGAGGGGAAAGUGGAAUUCCUAGUGUAGCGGUGAAAUGCGUAGAUAUUAGGAGGAAUACCAGUGGCGAAGGCGACUUUCUGGACUGCAACUGACACUGAGGCACGAAAGCGUGGGGAGCAAACAGG
rnacentral:rRNA from 1 species